rnacentral:misc_RNA from 1 species
GGAAGUAAAAGUCGUAACAAGAUUUCCGUAGGUGAACCUGCGGAAGGAUCAUUAACAAGUCCUGCUGUGCGUGCGGAGCAAUCUGCAUGCGCACAUCCGUUCCAUGUGCACCCGCACAUGACAUUUCUGCGAAUCGUCUGAUUGUCGCUCUCCAAAUCAUACAAACUUUUAACGAUGGAUCUCUAGGCUCUU